rnacentral:tRNA from 1 species
AAGACGUUAGUUUAAUAAAUAAAACAAUUGAUUUCGGCUCAGUAAAUUUCAACAAUUUUUGAAACCUCUUU